rnacentral:rRNA from 1 species
AGUGGGGAAUAUUGGACAAUGGGCGCAAGCCUGAUCCAGCAAUGCCGCGUGUGUGAAGAAGGCCUGUGGGUUGUAAAGCACUUUCAGGGGGGAGGAAAGGUCCGCAAGGAUUUUGACGUUACCCCCAGAAGAAGCACCGGCUAACUCUGUGCCAGCAGCCGCGGUAAUACAGAGGGUGCGAGCGUUAAUCGGAAUGACUGGGCGUAAAGCGCGCGUAGGCGGUUAUAUAAGUUGGGUGUGAAAUCCCUGGGCUCAACCUAGGAAUUGCAUUCAAAACUGUAUGACUUGAGUGAAGUAGAGGUGAGUGGAAUUUCCGGAGUAGCGGUGAAAUGCGUAGAUACCGGAAGGAACACCAGUGGCGAAGGCGACUCACUGGGCUUUAACUGACGCUGAGGUGCGAAAGCGUGGGGAGCAAA